rnacentral:rRNA from 1 species
UACAGAGGGUGCGAGCGUUAAUCGGAAUUACUGGGCGUAAAGGGCGCGUAGGCGGUUAGAUAAGUUAGGUGUGAAAUCCCCGGGCUUAACCUGGGAAUGGCAUUUAAUACUGUCUGGCUAGAGUAGAAUAGAGGGAAGUGGAAUUUCCAGUGUAGCGGUGAAAUGCGUAGAUAUUGGAAAGAACACCAGUGGCGAAGGCGGCUUCCUGGAUUCAUACUGACGCUGAGGCGCGAAAGCAUGGGGAGCAAACAGG